rnacentral:lncRNA from 1 species
AGGCCCGGCCCAGAGGACAAGCCUCUGAAGCAACUGAUUCGGGCCACAAAGUUUUGAGGGCCUUUUCAAAAUUUUUUUUUGUUUAUAUAUAGAUAUAAUCUGAAUUGUUCUCUAAGGCCUUCUAAAGAAAUAUUGUGGGCCUUUCCUAUUCAACUAGAGACAUAAAAGCUCAAGUAAAAAAAAAACCUGAAAUCUAGAGUAAAAAAAAAAAACGACGGUAGAGUUUCUUGUUUCUUCUUUGACAGGAUACCUUCUUACUGCUUCUUACUGUUACUGCUGCAUAUAUGUGAGUUUUUCUUACAAGUGAAAAUCAUAGGGUUUGAGGUUAAUUGUUAGUUUUGCUUUCAAAUUUGUUGUUUUUUCCUUUCGUUUUUGUCAAAUUAGUAAAAUAGAGAUGCAAAUCUAAUGAUUUGUCAAAUUCCAAUUUUAAAUGGAUCGAUUAUUAUUCUUUAGCUUUGUUAAGCUAUGAGACAAACACCGAAACACUUCCAACAAAUUUCAAAUCCGU